rnacentral:rRNA from 1 species
UACGGAGGGUGCAAGCGUUAUCCGGAUUCACUGGGUUUAAAGGGUGCGUAGGUGGGCAGGUAAGUCAGUGGUGAAAUCUCUGGGCUUAACUCAGAAACUGCCAUUGAUACUAUCUGUCUUGAAUUUCCUGGAGGUAAGCGGAAUAUGUCAUGUAGCGGUGAAAUGCUUAGAUAUGACAUAGAACACCAAUUGCGAAGGCAGCUUACUACGGGAAUAUUGACACUGAGGCACGAAAGCGUGGGGAUCAAACAGG